ACGAUGCUUUCGGGCAUAGUGGCGCACGGGUGCGUAACGCGUGGGAAUCUGCCCUUUGGUUCGGAAUAACAGUUGGAAACGACUGCUAAUACCGGAUGAUGACGUUAAGUCCAAAGAUUUAUCGCCAGAGGAUGAGCCCGCGUGAGAUUAGGUAGUUGGUGGGGUAAAGGCCUACCAAGCCGACGAUCUCUAGCUGGUCUGAGAGGAUGAUCAGCCACACUGGGACUGAGACACGGCCCAGACUCCUACGGGAGGCAGCAGUGGGGAAUAUUGGACAAUGGGCGCAAGCCUGAUCCAGCAAUGCCGCGUGAGUGAUGAAGGCCUUAGGGUUGUAAAGCUCUUUUACCCGGGAUGAUAAUGACAGUACCGGGAGAAUAAGCCCCGGCUAACUCCGUGCCAGCAGCCGCGGUAAUACGGAGGGGGCUAGCGUUG
rnacentral:rRNA from 1 species